CAUAUCGUCCUGGCUAGUUUCCUUCUUACUAACAUCCCACAUAACUCUAUGACAAUUGCUAAAAUUUUAAUAACCUACAUUGGCACAGAUAAACUGUCAACUUUGGGAAUCACUGGUUUUCCUAAUAAUGCCAUUUUUUUUUUCUGCUCCAAGUUCCCUUGUGGCAUUUGGUGGCCUUGGAUCUUAAAGUUUUCCUCUCCCAAAGUGGCCUUCAUCAAGAUGUGGAUGCUAUUGAAAGGAGCUGAAAGACAUCUGGGCUGUUUCCAGUUCUGGGAGAUUAUGAAUAAAG
rnacentral:lncRNA from 1 species